UUGGGUGAAAAAAGUGGGAAUUUGCAUGGACAGUCUGGAUCCCAGCUUCCAAAGACAGGAGCAAAUCUAUCCAUACGUGGCCAUGAUGGUGUUGAUAAUUAUGCUUCAGUGUCAAAUAAAGGUGGAAAUGGUGUCAUCUGCACUGAUAAAUCAGUAGGUAAACAAGAUAAUGAACAUGGCAAGUUGUCAGAUUUGUUUGUCACUAAUUCCAAUGCUAAAGCUGGAGAUACCUAGAAAAUAUUGGACACAGAUAAGCCUGAUGUGGCCUCCAAAAUCAAAUGGGGUGAUCUAG
rnacentral:misc_RNA from 1 species